UGAGUGUGAUGACAUUUAACUCCAACUGCAACAAUAUUUGCACAGUGAUGUAAACUUUACCAAGGGCAUUGCCAACCCUUUGCUCACUGGUAGAUCAGUGCCUCUUAAUUUUUUUCCUUCUUGCCAGUCUCCAAUGCUACCACCAAGGCUCUCUUGCUUUUUUUCUUUCCCCUCUCUCUCUACUCUUUUAAUUAAAUCCUAACUCAUCUCUCUGCUUCCAACCCUGCCUCUGCAUUAGUCAGUGCUUCUUAACAGGGGCAGGGCACACUCCUUGGAUUGUGGGAGUGGAAAAUUGAUUGGAUAUUGGUCACCACCAUAAUUGGAGAGGUACUGCUGCCGUUUAGUGUACAGAGGCCGCAGAGGUUAGAGACGCAGCAACGCAUGGCUAUUCAGCCACGGACGUCAAAUGCCUGCCAGACAUUUAGAAUCCCCAAACUCAAUGAGGACACGUUUUCCUCCCGAGAACAGCAGAAUGGUAACAAAGAACACAUGAAAAGAAAAUGCUUUCAAGGACCAAAGGAAUUCAUCUACAAAUAUGGAAUUUCCAGCAUGGAAGUCAGUGACAAAGCCCUGGCAUACCCCCAUCGCAGGUGUCGUGAGAACACCGUCCAGUGGGACGAGGCCAGCCCUGCCCUGAGAAGCUGAGAUUCCCACCCCACCUGGAGGGAGCUGAGCACCCUCACAGCAACUCUGAGCCCCUGACUCCAAAGGAGACUCUUCUCCUGUGGUAUCAGACGUAGAGGGCGGGCUCCCUUAAAGUAAAAUUCCACAACAGGGCAGUAGAAAGAUGCAAUGAAACAUAUACGAGUUAUUAAAUAUUGUCAUCAAGAUGAGUAAUAAAUCAGACAUUUUAUGGUUUCUGAUUAUAAAUUCCAUUUAUUCCAUAAGUGUUUAAAGAAAGAAAAAUGGAGACCCAACAGAGAUUUAAGCCUGCCCGAGAUGGGUAUAUUUCAUGAUUGCUUUGUGACUGCUGCAUCCUGGGUGGAAUAGGGGUGGGGGAGAUACAAAAGGGCCCUCUCAGGGCCAGGAAGAAUGAAUUGCUGGGUUUCUGCGGCUCUGUGAGUGCAUUCAUUGUCAUGUGAGACUCUUCCUAAGAAUUCUUUUGAAGUCAGGAAUUCUGGCCAGGUUCCUGGUGGACACACUCUUGAAGAUAGCCUACUCCUUCAAAUCCCAAAACCAACUUAAACAAGAGGCCAGGCGAGAAAAGCCAACGUGGGGAGACUCCAUAGGUCCUGGCAGGUGGCACUGAACAAUGCAGAUCCUUAACAGGAGGGAGGAGAUGAACUGUCCCAAAGAGUGGCUGCUGCAGAUCAGGGAGCUGGGCACAAUCCCAGCACAGCAAGUGUUCAUUCAGUAAAAAGUAUGCCUUGGGGCCUGGCGCAGUGCCUCACGCCUGCAAUCCCAGCACUUUGGGAGGCCGAGGUGGGUGGAUCACUUGAGGCAGGGAGUUCAAGACCAGCCUGGACAGCAUGGAGAAACCCCAUCUCUACUAAAAACACAAAAAUUACUUGGAUACGGUGGCUCAUGCCUGUAAUCCCAGUUACUUGGGAGGCUGUGGCACAAGAAUUGCUUGAACACAGGAGGCAGAGGUUGCAGUGAGCCAAGAUGGCACCACUGCUCUCCAGCCUGGGUGACAGAGUGAGACUCUGUCUCAAAAAAAAAAAAAAAAGUUAUGCUUUGUGUUCAUAAAACUAUGCCUUCUCCUCAUAUAGUACUUUACAGUUUACAGGUGUUAUUUCAUUACAUUUUGCACUACGGUUCUAGCAUAGCCAUUGUUAUUUUUAUUCACAGACAGAAAAAAAUGAGGUUGUCUCACUCAUAUAACCUGGCCUCUCUCAGCUCUGGUUGCUGUGGAGAGUAGCAUAAGUGAUAUCUCUUCAAUGGUGGUUCUACUGCACAAAGAGAAAACAAAACGUUGUCUUCUGGCCUUCCAAUGGCAGAAUUUGACCUGCUUUUGGCUUUGAAAUGCCUCAUAUGAUAUUCUUCUAGCAGAUUUGUCUAAUUAUAUUUUGCUUGGGCUAAGAUUAAAAUUAAUUGGUCUUUUCAUGAUCACACAUCAGGAGAGUAAUAGGACCAGGCACCUGAGACCAAGCCAGGGAUUAAAGAUUGGUUAUGGAUAAUCCACUAGCCAGAGAGUCUGAAUGUGGUGGGAGAUGAGUGGAGGAGACCCAGUGGGCCUCCGGCAGCUUGUUUAUCACUGGCAUCUUCAUCACAAGCUUUAUGUGACAGGAUUUCUCCUGAUGUGCCCACAGCUGCUGCCUCACUGCACGCACACAAGUGUGUGUACACAGGCACCCACACAGCUGGAGAAGCACACAUAUGCCUCCUUCUGCAACAUGCACACUGUUGAUUAGCCUCUGCGGAGUGCUGACUCUUGGAGAAAGACCAGAUAAAUCGCUUUGGAGAGGGAGAAAAGGAAAAAAAUAUGAUAAAGAAAAAAAAAUCUACUUUAUCCCCCUUCAAAUGCCACAAGAAAAUGUCACGGAAAUCGCUUUGCUGGAAAUAACAGAGAAGUUCAAAACAAAAUUGUUGAGUGUCACUCCUGGGCCCGACUCUCCCUUGCACUGGGCCCCUCCUCAGCCUGGGAGGCUCCUCGCUGCCUCUGCCACCACUCACCCUUCAGGAUGCCACUGCUGCAGCCUCCAGGAACUGAAAAACAGUUCUUGGAAAGCCUUCCACUAAAGGGAGUAAUCGAGAAUAAACAAAGGACAAAGACAUGAGUGGGAAAGAGCUCUUUCCCUGCCAGCUGGCCACUUCCAGCUCCAGGACAGUGUCCAUGAAGCCCACAGAAGGGAGACUCAUCAUCAUUUUCAAUGUCGUCAUUACCAAAAGCCUUUCUUAUGCGAUUCAUUGUGCAAGGCUGUGUACAGAAACUGUUGAAGGAUCCUUUUGCUUUCUUGUGACUUAAAAUCCAUGACAUUUCACAAUGCUACAAAAGGCGUCUCUGAUUUCCUUGGGUAUAGCUUUCUUUUUUCUUUUUAACUUUCUAUUCUUCGUCUAAUAUAACAGCACCACAGUGCACAACAGUGCUUGGCUGAAGGACAUGAAAACAUAAAUUUUCUGCAUUAUUAUAGAUUCAUCCACUCAUUCACUGAUUCAUUCAACAUUCCAAAAAUUCAGAGCCUACCAUAUUAAAUACCAGGUCCUCAACCAGGCUGUCAAGACAGAGGUGUAAACAAUUCACAGAUCCUGCCUUCAAGGAACUCACCAAAUAUUAUAAGCAGUGAUGUUCAAUCUCUUUUUUUCUUUUAAAGUGUAGGGAAACUUUCUCUACGUAAAAUGUUUCCAGGAAGCCCAAUGUAUAAAACCAAUAAACCAGAAUUUUUUGAUUAAGUGAGGAAGGAUAGACAGUGAGGGGAAACAUUUUAAGGAGAAAGUAUUAAACCCAUUCUAUAUGUGAUGAAAUAAGGCUCAUGGGGUUUAAGUAGCUUUUCCAAGGCGCAGUGAACAAGUGGAGAAUCCAGGACAAGGCCCCAGUUCUGUCUCAGCUUAAGUCUCUAUUCUUGCCUUUGGCCGGCUGCUGCCCCAUCAGGCCCCGUCAUACAAAUAGGCACCAAGAAGGGGACCUCAGCCCUCGCCUUCCUGAGUUUGUUCUUUACAUAGUUAGUUAAUAGAAAAACUCUCUUCAAUUACAAAUCACAACUAAGUUUCUCAUUACUGCAGACCUAUCCCUCGUACAGAAAAUCCAACUGAUAAGGGUUGAGAAUUGGUAUUAUGAUCCUUUUCCUGGGCUGGAAUAAGACCUUUGGCAAUAAUACAGCCCUGAUUAAUCUUUGGAUUAACCAAAUCAAAAUGAUCCUAAUUAUUCCUUACAUUUAGAUGAACUAGUUUAGAGAACAAUUUAGGCAGUUUUAGAAGGAAUAGAGAUAGAUCUACGCAAAAGACAAAUUUUUUAUUAAACUAAUUGCUAGUCCUUGGCUGAGAAUGCACAAGAAAUAGUAAAAUAGUAAAGGUUUAACUACCACCCUCAAAACUGGGGCCUGUAAGAUUUGAAUGUUACAAUUAAGAAACUUAGUCAAUUGAAAUAUAAACUCUGGGUUUAAAAUGUGUUUCAUACGGUGUGCAACAAUAUUUCUUUAGUGGAGAAUGUCUUAACUGUUAUUUUGUUGUUGCUGCUGCUUGGUUUUUUUGUUUUUAAAAACAAUUGAAAAAAAUUAGCCAUCAUGAUGAACACAAUUCCUCUUCAAAGAAAUGACUUAAAACCAGGAUGACAAGCAUGAUAAAACACAGCAUGCCACAUGCCCUAGAUUUAUAGCUCUUGUUCCACAUCUUGCUGGACUGUCAGUCAAAAUGACUCAUCCCAUUUGUGUGCAGGAGAGGUGAUGGGCCACAUUUUCCCCAACCUACCUCUUUCCAGACCUUGAACUGUGGGAGCCCAGGUGAGACCAAGAAGGCCUUUAUUUUUAUUUUCUUUUCACAUUGAAGCAACCAUCAAGGCUUGGGACUAACACCCUGUUGCUGAUAUAUAUAUAUAUAUAUAUAUAUAUAUAUAUAUAUAUUAUAUUAUAUUAUAUAAAUAUAUUAUAUGUAAAUAUAAUAUAUAUAAUAUAUAAUAUAUAAUAUAUAUAUAAAAGCUGGAAACCAUCAUUCUCAG
rnacentral:lncRNA from 1 species